rnacentral:rRNA from 1 species
UAUUAAAGUUGUUGCAGUUAAAAAGCUCGUAGUUGGAUUUCGGAAGGUCCUUAGCAAUCCGCCCCUUCGGGGAGCGGGUUGCUGGCCUCCUAUGUUCCUAACGGUCCUCAUCCGCGAGGGUGGGGAACCAACCGCUAGGAUCGUUUACUUUGAGGAAAUUAGAGUGUUCAAAGCAGGCGUAACUCGCCUCCGAAUACGUUAGCAUGGGAUAAUGGAAUACGACUUCGGUCUUGUUUCGUUGGUUUCGCUUGGCUGAAGUAAUGAUUGAUAGGGACAGUUGGGGGCAUUAGUAUUUAGUUGUCAGAGGUGAAAUUCUAGGAUUUACUAAAGACUGACCAAUGCGAAAGCAUUUGCCAAGGAUGUUUUCAUUAAUCAAGAACGAAAGUAGGGGGAUCGAAGACGAUCAGAUACCGUCGUAGUCUCUACCGUAAACUAUGCCGACCAGGGAUCCGGAGAGUUUGCAUGGAUGACUCCCCGGGCACCUUGUGAGAAAUCAUAAGUGUUUGGGUUUUGGGGGGAGUAUGGUCGCAAGGCUGAAACUUAAAGGAAUUGACGGAAGGGCACCACCAGGAGUGGAACCUGCGGCUUAAUUUGACUCAACACGGGGAAACUUACGAGGUCAGGACACUGUGAGGAUUGACAGA